UUGAACGCUGGCGGCAUGCUUUACACAUGCCAGUCGAACGGCAGCGCGGGCUUCGGCCUGGCGGCGAGUGGCGAACGGGUGAGUAAUGCAUCGGAACGUGCCCAGUAGUGGGGGAUAGCCCGGCGAAAGCCGGAUUAAUACCGCAUACGACCUGAGGGUGAAAGCGGGGGACCGAAAGGCCUCGCGCUAUUGGAGCGGCCGAUGUCGGAUUAGCUAGUUGGUGGGGUAAAGGCUUACCAAGGCGACGAUCCGUAGCCGGUCUGAGAGGACGACCAGCCACACUGGGACUGAGACACGGCCCAGACUCCUACGGGAGGCAGCAGUGGGGAAUUUUGGACAAUGGGGGCAACCCUGAUCCAGCCAUGCCGCGUGCGGGAAGAAGGCCUUCGGGUUGUAAACCGCUUUUGUUCGGGAAGAAAUCCUCUGGGCUAAUACCCCGGGGGGAUGACGGUACCGGAAGAAUAAGCACCGGCUAACUACGUG
rnacentral:rRNA from 1 species